GCCGUAAACGUUGGGCGCUAGAUGUGGGUCACAUUCCACGUGAUCCGUGUCGCAGCUAACGCAUUAAGCGCCCCGCCUGGGGAGUACGGCCGCAAGGCUAAAACUCAAAGGAAUUGACGGGGGCCCGCACAAGCGGCGGAGCAUGCGGAUUAAUUCGAUGCAACGCGAAGAACCUUACCAAGGCUUGACAUAUACAGGAAAACUGCAGAAAUGUAGUCCCCGCAAGGUCUGUAUACAGGUGGUGCAUGGUUGUCGUCAGCUCGUGUCGUGAGAUGUUGGGUUAAGUCCCGCAACGAGCGCAACCCUCGUCCUAUGUUGCCAGCACGUAAUGGUGGGAACUCAUGGGAGACUGCCGGGGUCAACUCGGAGGAAGGUGGGGAUGACGCCAAAUCAUCAUGCCCCUUAUGUCUUGGGCUUCACGCAUGCUACAAUGGCCGGUACAAAGGGCUGCAAUACCGUAAGGUGGAGCGAAUCCCAAAAAGCCGGUCUCAGUUCGGAUUGAGGUCUGCAACUCGACCUCAUGAAGUCGGAGUCGCUAGUAAUCGCAGAUCAGCAACGCUGCGGUGAAUACGUUCCCGGGCCUUGUACACACCGCCCGUCAAGUCACGA
rnacentral:rRNA from 1 species